CAGGAUUGUUAACACCUGACUCAGGGAGGCCGCUGCUGGCAGGUGAUGGGUACAGCCAGGAAGGUGAAAGAAGCAGGUUGCCUUUCCUCAGGGCUCUGGAGGUCCAAUUACAACAGGAAGCAAAGAGCUAAAAGCAUCUCUAACUAGAGGAAGAUGCUUCCUUGUCUCCAGUAACACAAAACAGUUUCUGAUUUGAGGGAAAAGAACUGGGAGGAAGGGUGAUUGACAGUGCUCAUGCCAAAUGUUGGAAUGAUGCUGCAACGCCCUGUCCAGGACUGAUUGCUGGAAGAACGUCAGAGAAUUGAGGCAGAAGAGUGUUGUUUUCUAUGCAAGUCAUUAUUUGGUUGUUUAAACUUUUUCUUUUCAGCAAUACAAUCUCUUGGAUUCUCAGGAAACUGAAAGAACACUGACCUGCAUUUUGAACAGACAGCAGUGCCAGUGUCUACCAAUGUUAGCAGAUACUUCAGACACUGAAGCCAGGAGAAGACAAGUAUCCUUCCUCCCCAGAAAGAGGUGUGGGAAUGUGCUUGCUGCAGAAGUUACCCUCACAUCAAGGAGGAAGCGUUCCUCGUGUUGUAAUUCUGGGCUCCACCUUCCCCUGUGAGCAUUGCUGGACCUCUCCUCACCUCUGCUUGACCAGAUUUUCAAAUAUAAGACCUGUUUGUGUUGUUUUUCCUUAGGAUUAUGCGC